CCUGGCCUAAACAAUUACACAGUCUUAAUUUCUCCAUUGCAACUGACUUUAUAUAUUUAAAAAUACUAUUUGUCGCAUGGAAAUACAGCCCUUUAACUGACGUAAAGACAAGCCUCCUACAAGUGAUCAAUGGUAUACGGAGGUGUUAAUAUUCUCUAUCCGGAGAUAACUUAUGUGGCAAUAAGGGGCUAUGACAGCUAUUGGCAGACCAUGAAGAAAGGAUGAUUCUGCUGUUGUUAAUGUUGUUUUAAUUCCAACCCACACGACUGGACCUUUGCCUAACAGUUCCUAAAGAUGAUUUCACAGCACAGCAACACUAAAGCAAACCGCAAGAAAAUGUACUUUUUUUAUUUUCCAUAUUGCAGAGUCGCACAGCUGAGUUAUUACAUCUCAGAAAUUCCAUCAUGAAUCCAUUACUUUCCUUCAGUUCUACCCACAUGGUGGUUUUUUAUAUGAAGUUAUCUCUGUUCAGUGGAAAGGCCCCAUAUGUUUACACUUUUUAUUGCUUAAUGUAUUUGUAUAGGUGAUAUCUGAAUGCCCAAUGAUUAAUAUUCACCCAGCCUAUAAAUAAUUGUCAAUAAUAACGCUUGUAUCCACAAUUUUGUGGAUACUAGUGUUAUUAUUGACAAGGCGUAUUAUUAUUCAAAUGAAAAAUUAUGGGGCUUGUUGAAACCAAUCAUGAUCACAGAUGAAUUGGCGCUGUUAUUUUGUAGCUCUGAUUUAUCCUGAUUCUGUGCAUAGGAAGCAACGAAUACAGUAAUGAAAGCUUUGAAAAAAUGACUGAAUAUCAAAGACUGCCAUAUUUCUCUUACAAUGUCCGAAAUGACUCAAGCUUGCAAAAAUGUAUGCAGUGAAUUUAAACCUACAGCCAUACUUGCUCAGCUAUCACUAUUCAUUUUUUUUUCUAUCUUAGUAUUUCAAAAUGAUAUGGACAACUUGCUCAGCAAAAUUUUCAUGGCCAACUGAAUCAAGAUUUUACAGAGACAAUAUGGCACUGAUGACCUCACUGGGACGGCAAUAUAUUAUACUUUCCCAUAUAA